rnacentral:rRNA from 1 species
UACGUAGGGUCCGAGCGUUGUCCGGAAUUACUGGGCGUAAAGCGCACGUAGGCGGAUAUUUAAGUCAGGGGUGAAAUCCCGGGGCUCAACCCCGGAACUGCCUUUGAUACUGGGUAUCUCGAGUCCGAGAGAGGUGAGUGGAAUUCCGAGUGUAGAGGUGAAAUUCGUAGAUAUUCGGAGGAACACCAGUGGUGAAGGCGGCUCACUGGCUCGGUACUGACGCUGAGGUGCGAAAGCGUGGGGAGCAAACAGGG